AUUGAACGCUGGCGGCAGGCCUAACACAUGCAAGUCGAGCGGAGCGGCGGACGGGUGAGUAAUGCCUAUGAAUCUGCCUGGUCGUGGGGGAUAACGUCCGCAAACGGGCGCUAAUACCGCUUCCUAUCCGCUUAGCCUAGGUCGGAUUAGCUAGUUGGUGGGGUAAAGGCCUACCAAGGCGACGAUCCGUAGCUGGUCUGAGAGGAUGAGCAGUCACACUGGAACUGAGACACGGUCCAGACUCCUACGGGAGGCAGCAGUGGGGAAUAUUGGACAAUGGGCGAAAGCCUGAUCCAGCCAUGCCGCGUGAGUGAAGAAGGUCUUCGGAUUGUAAAGCACUUUAAGUUGGGAGGCGUUACCAACAGAAUAAGCAACGGCUAACUUCGUGCCAGCAGCCGCGGUAAUUC
rnacentral:rRNA from 1 species